GAACGCCGUAUGCGGUGAAAAUCGCACGUACGGUGUGGGAUGGGGGAAAACUUGGAGAUUACUUCAAAGAGUUACCUAUCAUCAU
rnacentral:ncRNA from 1 species